UACAGAGGUCUCAAGCGUUGUUCGGAUUCAUUGGGCGUAAAGGGUGCGUAGGUGGCGCGCUAAGUCGGGUGUGAAAUUUCGGAGCUUAACUCCGAAACUGCAUUCGAUACUGGCGUGCUUGAGGACUGGAGAGGAGACUGGAAUUCAUGGUGUAGCAGUGAAAUGCGUAGAGAUCAUGAGGAAGACCAGUGGCGAAGGCGGGUCUCUGGACAGUUCCUGACGCUGAGGCACGAAGGUCAGGGGAGCAAACGGG
rnacentral:rRNA from 1 species